rnacentral:rRNA from 1 species
CUUGGNUCAGAACGAACGCUGGCGGCAGGCUUAACACAUGCAAGUCGAACGCUCCGCAAGGGGAGUGGCAGACGGGUGAGUAAUGCGUGGGAACANACCUUUAUNUUGGGAACAACUCCGGGAAACUGGAGCUAAUACCGAAUGUGCCCUUCGGGGGAAAGAUUUAUCGGAUAAGGAUUGGCCCGCGUUGGAUUAGCUAGUUGGUGGGGUAAAGGCCUACCAAGGGGACGAUCCAUAGCUGGUNUGAGAGGAUGAUCAGCCACAUUGGGANUGAGACCCGGCCCAAAUUCUUACCGGAGGCAGCAGUUGGGAAUAUUGGACAAUGGGCGCAAGCCUGAUCCAGCCAUGUCGUGUGAGUGAUGAAGGCNUUAGGNUUGUAAAGCUCUUUCAUCGGAGANNAUAAUGACGGUAUCCGGACAAGAAGCCCCGGCUAACUUCGUGCCAGCAGCCGCGGUAAUACGAAGGGGGCUAGCGUUGUUCGGAAUUACUGGGCGUAAAGCGCACGUAGGCGGACAUUUAAGUCAGAGGUGAAAUCCCGGGGCUCAACCUCGGAACUGCCUUUGAAACUGGGUGUCUUGAGUGUGGAAGAGGUCAGUGGAAUUGCGAGUGUAGAGGUNAAAUUCGUAGAUAUUCGCAGGAACACCAGGGCGAAGGCGGNCUUNNUGUC